rnacentral:rRNA from 1 species
AGCGAACGCUGGCGGCAGGCUUAACACAUGCAAGUCGAGCGGGCGUAGCAAUACGUCAGCGGCAGACGGGUGAGUAACGCGUGGGAACGUACCUUUUGGUUCGGAACAACACAGGGAAACUUGUGCUAAUACCGGAUAAGCCCUUACGGGGAAAGAUUUAUCGCCGAAAGAUCGGCCCGCGUCUGAUUAGCUAGUUGGUGAGGUAAUGGCUC